GGAAGUGGAGCCUCCCAUUUGCAGAAACAUGCUUUUGAUCUUGUGAACUCUAUUGCCAUAAGUGGCAGCUCUACCUCGACUGUGUGGGUCAUUUCCCCCUCCAUUGGAAGAGGUGCUCAGCUUCUGCUGCAAGCCCGUUUUGUUGGAAGUGUUUUCGGGACUGUUCACUCCAUCAAAAGAGCAUUUGAUAGCGUGGAAGUCAGACUUGUAGGCAUUCCGGUGUGGAGAAGCACUUCUUAAAGUCCUUUCCCCUUUGCUCUCAGUUUUCAUCAUUGUCAGAGAGCAGGCUCCCUCAGCUCCCGAGGAGAGGGAAGGAAAACUCACAGGCGCUAAGCUGCCACCCUCCAACGCCGGGCAGCGCAGAUGCUGCAGAAGAGCUGCCUUCUCCCCCUCAGCCGGCCUCCACGCUCACACUCAGACGGGCUGCGCCGGUGCACACACGGAGAGAAAGAAAUCACAGCGCGUAUACGGCCACAUCGGAUAUUAUCUCUGCUGCGGAUCACAGUAUCCAGAAAGCCAUCUGGGGGCGGGGGUCCCGCCGGCUCCUUCCCCUCAGCGCUCCUGGCCGCCCAGCGGCCGCGCGCACCACGCCAUCAUUACACGCCGCCGCCCCGCUCUCCCCACGCCGCCUUCCGCCCGCCCCCGCGGCCCCGCUCCAAACCGCCCGCCCGCCCCGCGCCGCCUCUCACGCCGCACAACGCCCUCCUCGGCUCCGCUCCGCGCCUCGGGCCCGCCCGCGCGCCGCCUCGCUCCGCUCGCACACAAAGAGAGGGAGCGGCGGGCGCGCCCUCGUUCCUCUCAGCGUGAGGGAAGAGUGGGGCUGGGGGGGGGGCCGAGGGCAGCGCCGGGACAUACCACGCCGCGCGGGUUGCGGGUGAUACCAUGUCGGUGGGACCGGCGGCCGUUAGCGCGGGGCGUGGCGGCCCGGGGCCGCGAAGGCGUCGAGACGAGGGGCGGCGGGGAGCGGUCCGGGCCCGGCCCGCCGCACCCUCACCGAAGAACGCAGCCGAGGCGCCGUCCGGGCCGCCCCCGGGGAAGGGCCGCGCGGGAUUUUCAAAGCCCGGCGCAGCGGCCGCGGUGCGGUGAGGCCGCUCCCGACUGAGGGCGUCCCGGCGCGGAAAGCCGGAAGUAAUGGGAACGCCGCAUCGACUGACUUUUCUCCCCUCUUUUUCAAAUCCACGCCGUUUUAACAGAAAACCCCCUAACGAGCACGUGGCGCUGGGCCACGCUCCCGCGGCUGCUCCGCGCUCACGGAGCUCCCCGGUGCCGAGCGAAAGCCCGGCGGGCAGCGGCGUGUCCGGCACAGCUCUGCGGGGCCGGCGGGAGCCACGGAGCGCCUCUGCCAGCGGGACUGCGCGUGCCCAACUGCGUUAGUCCGAAUUACAGCACGGGCUGUGAGCCAUCCCACGGGGUGCGCGGUUCUGGUUACGGGCCAGACGCUGCUUCCACGUAGCAGCAUACAAAUCACACACAACAAUCGAGAGCACCAAAAGAAACCAACAGAAUGCCUGGAAUCAGGAACUGACGCCAAGCAUUAAGAAGAAAUUCAACCAGAUUCUGUAUUCUUACCCCGUGGGAAUCUCCAAAAUUUGAUGGUUUCUCAUUCCAAUAACUGAGUUUCCAGCAGAACAAGAACUUGAGCAGAGCCGAAGUGACAUUUCAUCUGGUAGUUAGCAGAUCAGUGGUGAAAUGUAGACAUUCUUACAGACAUCCACACUGUUUUUUUUUUCUAGCACAAAGCAAAGGGGGUAUGAAACUCUUGAGACUUGCUUCUGUGUUUGCAAAUGCUGUUGGGACAACAGUGUUCAGCAAGACCCGUCUCUAGUAGCCUCAGGUACACCCCAAAGCACCGCUUUAAGUAACGUUCUACAAGAAUAGUUUCAAUCCGAGAGCAACAAAUGUUUCUUGUGUUGAGAAUAUGUAGUUCUUACCUAGAACAAAGCAGCUGCGACCUCCCCCCCGCAUGUCCUGACAGCUCACUGUGGGGCUUCUGCACCGUUCCCAAUGCGCAGAGCUGUAAGAGAACACAAAGGAAACCUCCUUACACAAAACAAAGUAAAUAUAGGGUUGCUCUGCAGUUUGAACACUGGGCAAAGACCGUUCUGUGCACUGCUUCGGGAGCCUGCCAGCACGUAGGAGGCAGUUCAAAGGAAAACAAAGGCAGAUCUCAGGAACAACAUAAUAACAGAGCCCAGCUCCAACCUGCGCCCAGGAAAGUGAGAGGCCUUUGCACAGCGUGCGUAAGUGAGGCUGCAGCAGGAAGAUACUCUCCCAUUUCAGAUUCCCCCGUGCUUCAGGAAGAUGGGAUUACAGAGCAUAAACAUAAAUUUAAGUGCAUCAGAGAUAACUUCAUAAGGAAGAAAAAAAAAAGUCUCAUUCUACCUAGGAUAACAUAUGUAGGUUAUUUGGGCUAGCCAUGCUGGCUAGAAGGGACAACAUUAUCAGGAUGGACUGGUUUCUAGUCAGGAAAGGCUGAACUGUACUCUAGGUGAACUGAUAUGAAGGAAAUACUAGAGCUAUUUACAGAAACAAUGACUAACAAGAUCAGAAGAAUUCAAGAUAAGUACAUCUGGAAUUUGAGCAAGAAAUCUGGGAAGGUGAAGUAGUUGGGGAUUUCACCAUAGCUAAAACUGCAAUAAAACCCAGGAAGAGCGUCUUAGAGAUUCCAUCUGUGGAGGUAAAACAAUGGUGAGUAAGCAAAUGGUUUGCACUGAGCAUUUUGUCAUUGGAGCAUAUUCAGGAAGGACCCUGGCUACUCAAAAUCUUGGGCAAAAGGAAUCAUUGUUGUGGUGUAUGCACUCAUGAACCCAAUGAAAACAGACAAAAAGGAAAUGGUUUCCAAGAAAAAGAGGAUUCUGUAAACUCGGUUGCUCCAACUGCACUGAGAUGAGGUCUGUUUCAGUGUUCACUCCAAUUCCAAAGGCAUAUAGAUGGAAAAGGAAACCAGCUGUCAUUAGAGUGAUGAUGCUUCCUGAAUGACAGAAUGUUCUUGUGACUACUCCUGUCCUGGAGCUGAAGAAGCCUGUGUGAGACAAAACUUUGUCUUCAUCAGUCAUUGUAAAACUUGGUUCUCUGAACUUUUACCCUUUAAAAGCUGUCUGCUUUGUCCUCAUUUUAGUUUUAUCUCAUGAUUUAAACUGCAGACUCACCAAAUAUGCAUUUAAGCUGUGUAACGCGAGUUUCAUCAGCAGUUUUAAGUAGAACAGGUGUUUAUUCUAUAUGUUUGCAAAACAAAUGGGAAGAGAAGGAUUAAUUAAGCACUCAAAGUUUCACCAGCAUUUUUUGUGGAUUUUUAAAGCUGUUUUUGAAAGAAAAUAUUUUUUUCUGUCAUAAUUAGCAUGAUCUGGAAGCAUUUCAGUCAUACUCAGUACAAGUUGAGCAGUAAAUCUGAACUUGAAUGAGAGCACCUUCUAAAAGCCCAAAGGACAAUUUCACGAUGUCUGUCACUUGGAGCAAGAAACUAAUUUGCAAUUUUAGGAGAUUAAUUGUAAAGUAAGGAUGUAAUGAUAUCCUAGAAGAAAGCAAAGAGCAAAAAACAGACCACCACUAGUACAAGAAUUACAGUAUGCGAUGGUAAACUAGACCAGAUUUUGGAAUGGGAUUCCCCUAGCAGCUUGCAUUUUCUGUAGAAUAUUACAGUUGCUCAGCAGGACCCCAAAGAUUACAAGUGUUGUGGAUGAAAAAACGCUUAAAAGACAGGAGCUAAUUAAGUUUCACUCAGUUCCAUUCAGAUUGUGCUGGAUAACGUGGUAAUUACUCUGCUGCGUGCCAACAGCACAACAGAGAAAGCCUGAAACAUCACUGUGUUUGUCUUUGCUAUUGUAUAUGAUGAUACAUAUGUUCAGUAUUUCUUUUCAUUUCUAAAACUGCAGCCCCAGUGUAUGGGCCCACCCAGUGUGUUACUUCUCAGAAAUCCUGUGAAUUAAUACCCUGAAUAAUAUUCUGGCCACAGAACCACAAACGGUAAAUGAAGGUUGAUGGAACAGCACUGAAACCUGCAUUGAGCACUACUGGUCUGCCAGCAUGUUACUAAUGAUUUCUGCAAGCUAAAGUUACUUCACAUCACAGCUCCAAAGCACGUUGGAGAAAAGAUUGGAAGAAUCUCUCGAGUCCCAAGUCUACAGAACCUCCUACACCCUUCAGGUAAAAUAGCAGCAGUUGUUUUCCUCACCUUACAAGCCCCAUUCCUCCGGCAUCCAAACCUUCAGAGCCACUUGGCACACUGGCAAACCCAUGAAAAAGAAGAAAAAAAGCAGCAGCAGGAGUGUGAAGAAAAGAUGAUGUAGAAUUCUGCAAAUGCCAGUUUGAGAGUAUACCAGGUUUCUCAAGCAUAGUAAGCUGAUGUUCACAUGACAAAGAGGCAGGGGGUCUUAAUAAGAGCCAUCACACUGAACACUUUUUGAGCAGAAAAAUCCCUCAGUGCAUUUUUCAGCUUGAUAACUGGAGUGCUGGUGAUGUAGUUUAAUUGGAUUUACAGGAAUUUAGCAAAUAAAGUUCAUUACUAUUGUCUAUUUUACCAACUUCCAAAGCAACAAAGCACAUGCUGUCACACUGCCUGCAUGUUUCUGAGCGUCUCCUACUCUGCGAGGACUUCUGAAAACUGGCCAGCUGGUUCAACCAGAUUUGACACUGGCUAAGAGUUUCCAACCAUAAUUAUGCUCCGACUAGUUUUGUAAAAACAGGCAGCCAGAGAGAGGCAGAAGAGAGACCUGGUAAGAUGAGUCAAGGGAAAAGUAAGAGAUCACCCCUUACCAGCCACUGGAGAAUCCUGCACAAGCCACACAGGAGGAAAACCAGAUGAAUGUAUCGGUCAUAAGAAAAGCCUCACUUCGAAGUUGCACCUUUUUAAAAGUGGAAGACAGUCAACCAAGAGACACACAUUGGGAGGAUAACUGGCAUCUUUGAUUCUGGACUUCACAGCACAGUUUCUUAUUCAGAAGCAUAAGUUUCUGUCUGGCCAAGCAGUUUUUAUACAAAACGCAAAGUGUUUCUGUAAAAUCUCUUAUCUUAAUAAUAAUCAAGAAAGCUGUGAGAAUCACAUGAAAUAAAUCCUGCUCACAGAGUUACGUGCAUCUAAAAAAGAAUAAAGAACCUCUAUGUUGUUUCAUAGUAUGACUAGAAACUCGCUCUGUUAAAAUGCCUACCCAGAAGACAUACAUUCUUAUGUACAUAUUAAAAAGCACUUAAAAAUGUAUUUCUGAGUUAUGAGACAACUUUGUACCCUUUGACAGGCAGUCCUUACAAAGUAUCUUCAUUUUAACUUUCAUAUAUCCCAGUCUGUCUAAAAAACAAUUUCUGCAUACAUGUGACUAUGUUUAGAUUAUAAUUUAGAGCCAAACCAAUGUAGUUUGAAAGCAAACUAGAAACUUUAUAACUGCUUAGUUUUUAAAUUGAUCUAGCAGUUAUGUCAGGAGGUGAAAAAGGAAGAAGCACAAUCUCACAGAUAAGUAUAAGUAACUCAAAGAAACAAUUUAAUUUCAAAUAAAUAAGGCAGUACUCUGAAAUUCUGUCAGAACUCCUUGACAUUUCCUAGGCUUAAAAUAUUUAAAAAGACACAACUAUCAGCUAAUAAUGUCACAAAAGUAGGAGAAAAGUAUGAAGUGAGUUCAGGUUCAAAAAUUCAGUUCGCUUCUUUAAUAGGUAAGGCUGUUACGUGAGCGAUAAUUGUGUAAAAUAACACAAAAAUGAAAGGUGGAGAUUAAAACAGAAGGUAUAAUUUAGGUAUACAUUAUAAAGAACAGAACACAAUAAUUUAGAUCUCUUACUUACCAGGACAAUUUUUCAGUAUGAUGCAAGGAACCAUCAAGAACACAUGCCAUUUGCAAACUCUCUCGAGACAGAAAAGAGGAAUCAGUUGCCCACUGCCAGAUGUAUCUGCAGUUAUGCUAGAUGAGUAAGCAAAUGGCAUUAUAAGAAAAAAAGAGAAGCAUUUUAUGCAAAUGCUAAAUUCACAUCAGCAUUUUCAGAGAAAUGAUUAUUAUCAGUGAAUCUGUAAAAUAGCUUUAUGUGUAUAUACAUACGUGUGUGUGUGUGUGUGUGCGCAUGUAUAUAAACAACAGUGGUUAGAGUUAACUUUGGAAAGUUCAAAUACAACCAUUCAGUUUUUCCUUUGAAAGGGAGUCCUCAUUUAAAAAAAUUUUAGAGGACAAAAUAACUGUAAAGAAAAUGCUUUACAUUAAGACAGAUUUUUUUUUUUAAGAAAAAUAUGAGAAAACCC
rnacentral:lncRNA from 1 species